GGGGAAUUUUCCGCAAUGGGCGAAAGCCUGACGUGAGCAAUGCCGCGUGGAGGUAGAAGGCCCACGGGUCAUGAACUUCUUUUCCCGGAGAAGAAGCAAUGACGGUAUCUGGGGAAUAAGCAUCGGCUAACUCUGUGCCAGCAGCCGCGGUAAUACGGGGGAUGCAAGCGUUAUCCGGAAUGAUUGGGCGUAAAGAGUCCGUAGGUGGCUCAUCAAGUCUGCUGUUAAAGAGCGAGGCUUAACUUCGUAAAAGCAGUGGAAACUGAAGAGCUAGAGUAUAGUAGGGGCAGAGGGAAUUCCUGGUGUAGCGGUGAAAUGCGUAGAGAUCAGGAAGAACACCGGUGGCGAAAGCGCUCUGCUGGGCUAAAACUGACACUGAGGGACGAAAGCUAGGGGAGCGAAUGGGAUUAGAUACCCCAUAGUC
rnacentral:rRNA from 1 species